UACGGGGGGGGCAAGCGUUGUUCGGAAUUACUGGGCGUAAAGGGCUCGUAGGCGGCCAACUAAGUCAGACGUGAAAUCCCUCGGCUUAACCGGGGAACUGCAUCUGAUACUGGAUGGCUUGAGAUUGGGAGAGGAUGCGGAAUUCCAGGUGUAGCGGUGAAAUGCGUAGAUAUCUGGAGGAACACCGGUGGCGAAGGCGGCAUCCUGGACCAACACUGACGCUGAGGAGCGAAAGCCAGGGAGCAAACGGG
rnacentral:rRNA from 1 species